ensembl:lncRNA
AUGAAGCUUGCAGGAGUACAUGUACGGAUUGAUUGGAGGCUGGAAGAGCAGACAAAUGUGUUUGGGAAGUGUUCUAAUUUAAAAUAUGGCUGCCUGACCUGGAAGAGAAAGCAAAGAGACAAUUCAUCCUUCAAAAACAUGACCUGGGUGUCCGAGGUGCCAACAAAGUUUGGUGCGCAAACAACUGUGUAUAAAUAUAUUUUCAAUAUACAGUCAUGUGUUGCUGUACAUUAUACCUGAAUUUCACAUGGCUUCUCUACUGAAGCUAGACUAAAGCAGAAAUCAGCAUGUGAUCAGUGCAUGGGAUCAGUUGUCCAAAUGUUUUUUUUAAUAAGAUUAAAAUGUAUAAUAUAUAUAUAAAUUUUUUUAAAAUAACAAAAAAUAUAUUAUUAUUAUUGUUAUUAUUGUAACACAUAAAAUACUACAAAUAAAAAGUCAUUAUUAAUUAACACUUUUCAUUUUUAUCUAACUGUUUAAUUACUUUUUUUAAUUAGUUUAAAAUAUUAUUUAGUACUACUAAUAGUAAUUACAACAAUAUAUUAUUAAACAUUGGCAUCCUCAUCAGUCUCUUUAAUAACUGUUUUCAAUGCAUCUUCAAAUAAAUUAUUAUUAUUAACUGUUAAAUAAUAUAAUUUGUUUAAUAACUGCUUUAGCAAAAGUUACUAAUAUACAAAUACAUGGUUGUAUAUUAUUAUUAUUUAAUAAGAACAUUUUUUUUAAAACUGGCAUUUUUAUCAGACUGUUUUACAAUUGUUUUAAAACAAGUUUCAAAUAAAUUAUUAUCAUUAAAAUUUACAUUUUGUCAUCAUUUACUUACCCUCAUGUCAUUCCAAACAUGUAUGAAUUCCUUUCCUUUCAUUCCUGUAACCUGUAGAUUCUGGUCCAUUCAAUAAAAAAAUUAUUUUGUUUUGCACAGAAAUAUAAAAUUCAACUGGUGUGUGUUUACAGGUGGACUCAUAUACUGGCUCAUCCAAAUCAAAUUAUAAAGCCAGAGCUUUUUGUUGUAUAAUAUCCUCUACAGUACUGCCACCAUUAUACUGUGUCUAGACAGUUAGUGUUAGUGCUAGUUAGUUAGUGCUGUUCUGCUGAUCACAGGAAGUAUGAAUCCAGCUGCUGCCUACUAUUAUCCACUGCAAAUGCAGAAGAGCGGGAAACACAUCCACACUUUGGCAGUCUCAAAGGUGCCAAAGGAUCUCUUUCACUGAGUUUCAAGAGAAAUAGUAUGUCUCUCAGUCAUCCAUUAAGUUCUUUGUCUGCAUUCUCUGUUAAAAAAAGGUUUUAUUGCCAUCUUGGGAGUAUGUAUGCUUCUGGGCCCAUCCAUUCAUGUCAAAUUAAUCUAUAACACCAUUUCCACAUCUACAUAAUCUCCCAAAAAUCUCACAGGUAUACACACUUAAAACUGAAGUUUACUUGCAGCAUCUUGAAUUAUUAUUAACCAUUUUUAAAGAUGAUGUUUAAGAUAAUGUUUCAUUAUUGAGUCUACCUGGAACUUGUAUUUUUAAAAGUAUAUACUAAGGGUGUUUGAAUUGACACUAGGGAUAUUAUUAAAACCAUAAAAAAAUCAUUAUAGGAAAUUAAAUAAACAUUAACUGAAAUAAAAUAAAUUAUAAAAUACAAAAAUACACUUUUUUGGGGGUUGCCAAGGCCAUUUCUCCAUUUCUCAUUUUUGUUUAGUUUAAAGUCUCUUGGAAAUGUGUCAGUUCUGACGAGAACGAUGCAUUGCUAUUGAUCAGUCUUACAGUGGACACGUAAAUGACUGCAGAGACCAAACUCUGAGGCGCAGAUGAUUCCUCUGCUGCCUGGGUCAUGGCCGCUUCCCAGGCAUCAAGACUGGUCUUACAGG